rnacentral:rRNA from 1 species
AACGUAGGUUCCGAGCGUUAUCCGGAUUUACUGGGCGUAAAGGGUGCGUAGGUGGGUAGGUAAGUCAGUGGUGAAAUCUUCGAGCUUAACUCGGAAACUGCCAUUGAUACUAUUUAUCUUGAAUACUUUGGAGGUAAGCGGAAUAUGUCAUGUAGCGGUGAAAUGCUUAGAUAUGACAUAGAACACCAAUUGCGAAGGCAGCUUACUACACAGUCAUUGACACUGAGGCACGAAAGCGUGGGGAUCAAACAGG